rnacentral:rRNA from 1 species
GACGAACGCUGGCGGCGUGCUUAACACAUGCAAGUCGAACGGAAAGGCCCUGCUUUUGUGGGGUGCUCGAGUGGCGAACGGGUGAGUAACACGUGAGUAACCUGCCCUUGACUUUGGGAUAACUUCAGGAAACUGGGGCUAAUACCGGAUAGGAGCUCCUGCUGCAUGGUGGGGGUUGGAAAGUUUCGGCGGUUGGGGAUGGACUCGCGGCUUAUCAGCUUGUUGGUGGGGUAGUGGCUUACCAAGGCUUUGACGGGUAGCCGGCCUGAGAGGGUGACCGGCCACAUUGGGGCUGAGAUACGGCCCAGACUCCUACGGGAGGCAGCAGUGGGGAAUUUUGCACAAUGGGCGGAAGCCUGAUGCAGCAACGCCGCGUGCGGGAUGACGGCCUUCGGGUUGUAAACCGCUUUCGCCUGUGACGAAGCGUGAGUGACGGUAAUGGGUAAAGAAGCACCGGCUAACUACGUG